UACGUAGGUGGCAAGCGUUGUCCGGAAUUAUUGGGCGUAAAGCGCGCGCAGGCGGUCCUUUAAGUCUGAUGUGAAAGCCCACGGCUCAACCGUGGAGGGUCAUUGGAAACUGGGGGACUUGAGUGCAGGAGAGAAGAGUGGAAUUCCACGUGUAGCGGUGAAAUGCGUAGAUAUCUGGAGGAACACCGGUGGCGAAGGCGGCAUCCUGGACCAACACUGACGCUGAGGAGCGAAAGCCAGGGGAGCAAACGGG
rnacentral:rRNA from 1 species